ensembl:snoRNA
GCUGUGGUUAAUGAUGUUAAGACUUUUUUCCCCAUCUUAUCGACCAUGGUGAAGCAGUUCUGACUUAAAGCCAAUCUUCUGAAACCACGCU